rnacentral:rRNA from 1 species
CAUAGCGACUAUCGUGGCAUAUCAAUAAGCGGAGGAAAAGAAACUAACAAGGAUUCCCUUAGUAACGGCGAGUGAGGCGGGAAGAGCUCAAAUUUGAAAUCUUCAAGGUUCUACCUUGACGAAUUGUAGUUUAAAGAAGUGUUUUCUGUUGAAGUUUUGGUAAAAGUUCUUUGGAAUAGGACAUCAUAGAGGGUGAGAAUCCCGUAUUUGACCAUUAUUUUCAGCUGUGUGAUACACUUUCAAAGAGUCGGAUUGUUUGGGAAUGCAGUCCAAAAUGGGUGGUAAAUUUCAUCUAAAGCUAAAUAUUGGCGAGAGACCGAUAGCGAACAAGUACCGUGAGGGAAAGAUGAAAAGAACUUUGAAAAGAGAGUUAAACAGUACGUGAAAUUGUCAAAAGGGAAGCGUUUGACACCAGUGUUGUUUUUCCGAAAAUCAAUUAAAAAUUGAUUCAUGCUAGGUUGUAUUGACCUUAUCAGCUUGCAAUUUAGUUUUGGGUCUCUUUUUGAUGCACUUUUCGGUUAACAAGUCAACAUCAAUUUCCUUUGCUGUAAAAAGGUAAGAGGAAGGUGGCUUCAAUUUCGGUUGAAGUGUUUAUAGCCUUUUAUCUCUGCAGUCGGGGAGAUUGAGGUCUGCAGCGUAGAUCCUUCGGGGCUAGAUACAUUUAUGCUAAGUUAUAGCUUUUCAUAGACAACUUGUUGACUAUGUUUAGUCAUGUAGCUUACUCGUAAGUGCUAUUUUACCUACGCUUAGGAUGUUGAUAGUCACAGCGUGUAC